CAGCCGCCACGGUAAUACGUAGGGUGCGAGCGUUAAUCGGAAUUACUGGGCGUAAAGCGUGCGCAGGCGGUUAUGCAAGACAGAUGUGAAAUCCCCGGGCUCAACCUGGGAACUGCAUUUGUGACUGCAUGACUAGAGUACGGCAGAGGGGGAUGGAAUUCCGCGUGUAGCGGUGAAAUGCGUAGAUAUGCGGAGGAACACCGAUGGCGAAGGCAAUCCCCUGGGCCUGUACUGACGCUCAUGCACGAAAGCGCGGGGAGCAAACAGGAUUAGAUACCCCUGUAGUCCCUGUCUCUUAUAC
rnacentral:rRNA from 1 species